rnacentral:rRNA from 1 species
CAUAGCCUAAAGGUAUAGUUUUUUAGGUAAUUUYUGCUCAAUGAAAUUUAAAUGGCCGCAGUACUUUGACUGUGCUAAGGUAGCAUAAUCAAUUGUCUUUUAAUUGAGGACUAGAAUGAAUGAAUUUAUGGUUAAAUUUUUUAUUUAUAUAUUUUAUUAAAACUUGUUUAUUAGGUGAAAAUACCUAAAAAAAUUUAUUAGACGAGAAGACCCCAGGAAUUUUAAAUUUUUUUUAUUGGGGCGAUAUCUAAACAUAUUAAACUUUAGAUUUUUUUAUAAAACGAAAAAUUUUAAUAAAAAAUAAAUUACCCUGGGGAUAACAGCAUAAUUUUUUAUAAAGAUUGUGACCUCGAUGUUGGAUUAGAAAAAAAUUUUACUUAAAGAGUAAAUUUUUAUGUUCUGUUCGAACAAUAAUAAAAUUUUCUACGUGA